rnacentral:tmRNA from 1 species
UUUGGAAGAUGAGCGAAGUAGGGUGAAGUAGUCAUCUUUGCUAAGCAUGUAGAGGUCUUUGUGGGAUUAUUUUUGGACAGGGGUUCGAUUCCCCUCGCUUCCACCA